rnacentral:lncRNA from 1 species
CUCUUCCUUGGCUCGAGCAAAAUCCCUCCACUCCAACUUCUCCUGUGGGAGGAGUUACCAAAAUGUCCUCACAGUGUUCUCUGUAUUUCAACAGGUCCACUGGACAACGGACAGUGAUUGUGGCCUCAAGAUCCAAUCACUCAGAGAGAGGUGCGAGGGAACUCAGCUCCAGCCCUCUGUGGUGUCAGCCAGUCAUGGAUAAACGAGACUCUGAAGUGAAGCCCAGCACCCCGACACUGCGCAUCAGGAGGAAGGCAGAUGAAUACCUAAAACCCACCCUGGUCUACAAAAACGUGCUGAGCUUUUUACUCGGUAGGCAGCUAGGGGGGCACAAAAACGAUGUGCAUCUGUCACGGUGGCUGUGGAUGUUGACACAAACCACACCAGAGUGGAGCUGGCCUUUGCCAAAAAGUCCUGUGGGUAACCCACCUGUUCUCCUUGGGGAUUAUGAAAAAUCCCAGAAAAUGAUGUGGAUCAACAAAUCCUUCCCCUGAUAGAAGCAUUAAAAUUGAAGC